rnacentral:pre_miRNA from 1 species
CAAAUACUCCCUCCGUCCGGAAAUACUUGUCAUCAAAAUGGAUAAAAGGAAAUGUAUCUAGACGUAUUUUAGUUUUAGAUACAUUUAUUUUUAUCCAUUUUGAUGACAAGUAUUUUCGGACGGAGGGAGUAGAAU